CAGUAGCCGCGGUAAGACAGAGGAUGCAAGCGUUAUCCGGAAUGAUUGGGUGUAAAGCGUCUGUAGGUGGAUUUUCAAGUCCGCCGUCAAAUCCCAGGGCUCAACCCUGGACAGGCAGUGGAAACUACCAAGCUGGAGUACGGUAGGGGCAGAGGGAAUUUCCGGUGGAGCGGUGAAAUGCGUAGAGAUCUGGAGGAAUACCGAUGGCGAAGGCAGCCAUCUGGCCUAAUACUGACGCUGAGGUACGAAAGCAUGGGGAGCAAACAGGAUUAGAUACCCCAGUAGUCCCUGUCUCUUAUAC
rnacentral:rRNA from 1 species